AGUAAAGUGACUGAAUAGAAAGGUGAUAGAUUGUAAAUCUAUAUAUGGGAAUAAUAUCCUCUUUACUA
rnacentral:tRNA from 1 species